GACGAACGCUGGCGGCGUGCUUAACACAUGCAAGUCGAACGGAAAGGCGCUGCUCUUGUUGGGUGCUCGUGUGGCGAACGGGUGUGUAACACGUGAGUAACCCGCCCUUGACUUUGUGAUAACUCCAGGAAACUGGGGAUAAUACCGGAUAGGAGCUCCUGCUGCAUGGGGGGGGUUGGAAAGUUUCGGCUGUUUGGGAUCGACUCGCGGCUUAUCAGCUUGUUGGGGGGGUAGUGGCUUACCAAGGCUUCGACGGGUAGCCUGCCUGGGAGGGUGGCCGGCCACCUUGGGCCUACGGUACGGACCAGACUGCAACGGGGGGCAACAGUGGGAAGCAUUGCACAGUAGGCCGGCGCCUGAGGCGAAAGCGCCGGGUGCGGAAUGACGGCCUUCGGGUUGUGAACAGCUUUCGCCUGUGACGAAGCGUGAGUGACGGUAAUGGGUAAAGAAGCACCGGCUAACUACGUG
rnacentral:rRNA from 1 species